GUCUACAGCCAUACCACCCUGAACACGCACUAUCUCGUCUGAUCUCGGAAGCUAAGCAGGGUUGGGCCUGGUUAGUACUUGGAUGGGAGAAAAAUGCACAAAGCAUAAGAGUUCAGAGAAUUAUCAC
rfam:Ailuropoda melanoleuca scaffold38_200, whole genome shotgun sequence.